rnacentral:rRNA from 1 species
GGUGCUUGCACCUGAUUGAUUUUGGUCGCCAACGAGUGGCGGACGGGUGAGUAACACGUAGGUAACCUGCCCAGAAGCGGGGGACAACAUUUGGAAACAGAUGCUAAUACCGCAUAACAACGUUGUUCGCAUGAACAACGCUUAAAAGAUGGCUUCUCGCUAUCACUUCUGGAUGGACCUGCGGUGCAUUAGCUUGUUGGUGGGGUAACGGCCUACCAAGGCGAUGAUGCAUAGCCGAGUUGAGAGACUGAUCGGCCACAAUGGGACUGAGACACGGCCCAUACUCCUACGGGAGGCAGCAGUAGGGAAUCUUCCACAAUGGGCGCAAGCCUGAUGGAGCAACACCGCGUGAGUGAAGAAGGGUUUCGGCUCGUAAAGCUCUGUUGUUAAAGAAGAACACGUAUGAGAGUAACUGUUCAUACGUUGACGGUAUUUAACCAGAAAGUCACGGCUAACUACGUGCCAGCAGCCGCGGUAAUACGUAGGUGGCAAGCGUUAUCCGGAUUUAUUG